UACGGAGGGUGCAAGCGUUGUCCGGAAUCACUGGGCGUAAAGGGCGCGUAGGUGGUGGCUUAAGCGUGCGGUGAAAGCUCGGGGCUCAACUCCGAGUCGGCCGUGCGAACUGGGCUCACUGGAGCAUAGUAGAGGCAGGUGGAAUUCCGGGUGUAGCGGUGGAAUGCGUAGAGAUCCGGAAGAACACCGGUGGCGAAGGCGGCCUGGUGGGCUAUGGCUGACACUGAGGCGCGGCAGCGUGGGGAGCAAACAGG
rnacentral:rRNA from 1 species